AUGGCCACGUUCUUCUCCACUUCAAACGAUCAGAGGGGCCUCGCCGGCGGCGGCGGAGGUGCCGGCGACAUGUCAUUCCACCACCACUACCCCAUGUCCAACCAAUACCCAGACUCGUCGAUCGGCGGCCUGAUCCCGCUCCCGGCGUCCAUCGUGCAGCAGAGCCACAUAGCGCACGGCGGCGGCGGCGGCGAUGGCCGAGACGACGAGCAGGCCGCGUUCAUGGGCUCGAGGGACGGCUCCGAGCUCGGCGGCCUGCAGACGCAGAUGCUCAUGGGAGACGGCGGCGCGUCGGCAGGGCAGCGCAGUCACCAGGGUGGCCUGUCGCUCAGCCUCGGCUCGCAGGUGCCGGUGUCCCUCUACCAGUACGGCCGUCCGGGCGGCAUGGCUGCGGCCGCUUCCCCCACCUUGAUGAGCCCGAACCAGUCGGCGAUGGCGAUGGCGGCGAGCAGGAACGCGCAGGUGAACGUGUACGUGCAGAACUCGAGGUUCCUGAAGGCGGCGCGCGAGCUGCUGGACGAGGUGGUCAGUGUCCGGGACGCGAUCAAGAGGAAGGGGGACAGGAAGGACGACUCGGCCGGCAACGGCGAGUGCGGCAAGGUCGAGGGCGACAAGGGCGAGGAGAACGAGGGGAGCUCCGCCGCCGAGCUGUCGCCGGCGGAGAGGCAGGACCUCCAGAACAAGGUGACGGCACUGAUGGCCAUGCUGGACCAGGUGGACCGGAGGUACAGGCACUACCACCAGCAGAUGCAGAUGGUAGUGUCGUCGUUCGACGCGGUGGCCGGCUCCGGCGCGGCGAGGCCUUACACGGCGCUGGCCCUGCAGACGAUCUCCCGGCACUUCCGGUCGCUGCGGGACGCGAUCGGCGCGCAGGUGCAGUCGGCGCGGCGGAGCCUCGGCGAGCCUCAGGACGGCUCCGGCGCGGGGGGCCUGUCUCGGCUGCGGUACAUCGACCAGCACCUCCGGCAGCAGCGCGCCAUGCAGCAGUUCGGCAUGAUGCAGCAGCCGCAGCACGCGUGGCGGCCCCAGCGCGGCCUCCCGGAGUCCGCCGUCUCCGUCCUCCGCGCCUGGCUCUUCGAGCACUUCCUCCACCCGUACCCCAAAGACUCGGAGAAGGUGAUGCUGGCGAGGCAGGCCGGCUUGUCCAGGGGGCAGGUGUCGAACUGGUUCAUCAACGCGCGCGUCCGCCUAUGGAAGCCGAUGGUGGAGGAGAUGUACAAGGAGGAGUUCGGCGCGGAGAUGGACUCCACCAACUCGUCGUCGGAGAACGCCGGCAACAAGCACAGCAAGGUGGACGAGGCGGCAUGCUCGGAGGACCAGGACCGCGACGAGUUCCAGAGCACGUCGACGCACGCCGGCGCGAGCCAGCUGCUGAACGCCUACAAGUCGGAGCCGGUGGGCAGCAUGGACGCCGGCCCGCUGUCCAGCUUCGGCGGCGGCGACAUGGGCACGUACGCGCCAGCAGGCCUCAGCCUGAACCACCACGGCCCGGGCGGCGGCAGCCUCCUGCAGGACGCGUUCCCGCACCACGGCGACGACACCAGGUUCGUGCCGUACGGCGGCAACAUGGGCGACCUCGGCGGCAGCGUGUCGCUGACGCUGGGCCUGCAGCACUGCAACAACAACAACAACGCCGGCCACGUGCCGCCCGAGCAGCAGGGCCUGCUGUACGGCAACCCCGGCGACUUCGACUUCCUCAACGGCGGCGACGACCGGCAGCGGUUCGCCUCGUCGUCGUCGCAGCUGCUGCACGACUUCGUCACUUGA
rnacentral:rRNA from 1 species